rnacentral:lncRNA from 1 species
GGGAGCACAAGGAGCUCCAACAUGAGUAGCACGACUGAUGAUUUUGCCAGGACGGAGAUCAACAUUCGCACGAGGAAGAUCAGCACUUGGUGAUGGUCAAUGUAAGCAUCAGAAGAAUGAACAGAAAGAACGAAGAAUGGUGCUAUCAUUUGAGGAAAAUGGUAGGAUCAGCCCCAUAACACCAUAGGAUUCAUAGUCAAGGCUUUAAGAUAAUGAAAACGGUCUGUAUUAGUAAAUGAGGGAAGAUCCGCAAAAGAAAACACGUUAAUGCGGGGAGGAAAAGGGGAGGCGAUACGCAUCAUGAGAAGGAAGAUGAUCAAGAACCGUACAGGUGCUUGACAUCCGAAUGGUGCAUAUCAAGGACAGGGUGAUACAAAUAUGCGCGUAGAGGAAUAGGAAGUUGUGUCUGAUGUUGAAAGCAAACGUUUGAAACAAGAUGAAAAUUUGCAUCGGGAGGAGCGUAAGGGUUGCCAUGAAGGUCAAAAUGUAUACGAGGAGGAGCAACGACCGCGCAGGAAGAAGGGGGCUGUAUAUAAGAAUACCACAAGAUGGAAGAUUCGGCACAAGGGAGAUUCAGCAGUAGCAAGAAAAUUGUGACUCCCACAACGAAGAGUUUUUUUACACGUCUCCAGGAACAGGAACAUGUCCAAGCGAUUAAAAAAACUGUUAUCCAAACCUGUUAAAUGGAUGGGUUUCAGGGACCAAAGUGUACGCUAAGAAGUGUUUGUUGGGCGAGCCGCGGACCCUACCAUCCGAUCGCGCAAUUCCAAGUUAACGGCAGAAACCGGUGGUCUAAAUUUAAUUUGCCGCACUGCUUGGCACGGUCCGUCCUGCCCGCUGACGUCAACUAACCUUUAGCGUUGCCACGACCACCGGCGGGGGGCCAUACCUGUCAAGGGCAAUACUGUGAAACUUGCGUGAGGAAGAGUAGCAGUCGAACUCAGGAAAUGAGGCAAAAUCGGCACGAGGAGGAGGAGGAGGAGGAUUAAGAUCGGCACGAGGAGGACGAUCAAGAUCGGCAUGAGCAGGACCAAGAUUGGCACGUGGAAGGGGAUGAUGUUUGACACGAGGAGUAAAGAGGAUCGAUCUCGCACGUAAAAUAAUAUGAAGACCGCAUGUGCAAUGGGGAAAAGAGAGGCAGGAAUGGAAUAUUAAUAUUCCAUGAGAAAAAUAGGCUUGCAUGAGGACUCACCCGAGGAAUGAUAGCAAGAAGCAGAGAAGGCUGAGAUCAAGAUGACACGACGAAAAGGGUCGUACAAGUCAAGAUCGGUUUGGUGACAAGAAACCAGAUUGGCACAAGGGAAUUCAAAAUGGACAGGGUGAGAAGGAUUGAGUCUAGCACGAGAAGAGAAGAUAAAGACGGGUUUGACGAAAGUAUUAACCUCGCACGAUAGAUAACAAGCUCGCACCAGGAAUAGGAUGGAGCACAGCGCAAGUAGAAGAUCAAGGUUCCUUCAGAAAACCGGCCGCACGGGCAUCACACGAAGAAUCAAGGGUACGCGAGGAUCAGGAUCGGCACAAGGAGGGGUAGGGUCGGUAGGAACGAGAUCAAUUUCGACACAAAAAAAGAAUAUGAAAAGCGGUGCGAGGAAGAAAUCGGAAGUUUCACGAUGAAUAAGGUCGAGAUUGUGUGUGCAAGGAUAAGCAUAGCGGGAAGAUUGGAAAAGCAACACAUCGCAUGAGGAAAGGUAUUAGGCCUACAAGAGGGACACGAUCAAGAUCGCACAGAGAAGAGGUAUUGGCUCAGAUGAUGAAUGAGAUGAAGAUCGCAAGGUGAUUAUAAGGUGGGACGGUGACGAUGAUGAUGAUGAUGAGGUGGUGCACGGUGCACGGUGAUGUGGGGAUGCGGUGAUGCACAGUGAUGAUGAACAAAAAAGGCGUGAGGGUUCGAGAAUGGUGCGAAAAGCAGAACCAAACCCCGCGGCGAUGGUGGUAGUGUACCCAGGAUUUUAACCAGGAAUGGGAGGUGGAGUAAACGUGGCCAUCCGAAGUGGAGUUCAUUUCAACCAUGCUGGACAACGCCUCGGCGAUUCCUAGACCUGUUUUUUUUUUACAUUUUGAGACUCUGUAACCCAAUCUUUUCAUACGAUUUUGAUGCGUCGGAGGGCUGCGUUUUAUGCUUACUAAGCCUUAUGUGCGUAUCAAGCUGCUAGAAAGUGCUGGGGCAGUCGCUUCCAGAGGAGGGGGAGCGAUGGUCCUGAAAGGCAUCGUCUGGCUGCAUUAAACAUGGUCUUCCUACUGGGGAAGAAAUACUGUGAUUGCACGAGGAAGAAUAUUGAUCUCGAACAUAGAAGAAAGUUAAGAUUACGCAGAAACAUAAGGCAAAGAUCGUCAAAAUGGCGUGAGAGGAGAAGCAGGAUCAGCACAAAAUGACGCUCGUCACAACAAGGAAAAACAUGAUGGGCUUGGCGCAGGGAAUCAAAAUCGGCACGAGGAGGUGGAUCAAGAUCGGCACGAGGAAGUGGUUCAAGAUGGGCACGAGGAGGUGGAUCAAGAGAUGCACGGGGCGGUGGAUCUUGAUCGGCACGACGAGGUAGAUCAAGAUCGGCACGAGGAGGUGGAUCAAGAUAUGCACGGGGCGGUGGAUCAAGAUCGGCACGAGGAGGUGGAUCAAGAGAUGCACGGGCCGGUGGGUCAAGAUCGCCACGAGGAGGUGGACCAAGACCAGCACGAGGAGGUGGAUCAAGAUCAGCACGAGGAGGUGGAUCAAGAUCGGCACGAGGAGGUGGAUCAACAUUAGUACGACGAGAUGGAUCCAGAAGAGCGCGAGGAGGUGGAUCAAGGUCGGCACGAGGAGGUGGACCAAGACCAGCACGAGGAGGUGGAUCAAUAUCAGCACGAGGAGGUGGAUCAAGAUCGGCACGAGGAGGUGGAUCAACAUUAGUACGACGAGAUGGAUCCAGAAGAGCGCGAGGAGGUGGAUCAAGAUCGACACGAAGAGGUGGAUCAAGAUCGGCACGAGGAAGUGGUUCAAGAUCGGCACGAGGAGGUGAAUCAAGAGAUGCACGGGGCGGCGGAUCACGAUCGGCACGAGGAGGUGGAUCAAGAUCGGCACGACGAGGUGGAUCAAGAGAUGCACGAGGCGGAGGAUCAAGAUCGGCACGAGGAGGUGGAUCAACAUUAGUGCGACGAGAUGGACCCAGAAGAGCGCGAGGAGGUGGAUCAAGAUCGGCACGAGGAGGUGGAUCAACAUUAGUACGACGAGAGGGAUCCAGAAGAGCGCGAGGAGGUGGAUCAACAUCGGCACGAGGAGGUCAAGAUCGGCACGAGGAGGUGGACCAAGACCAGCACGAGGAGGUGGAUCAAGAUCGGCACGAGGAGGUGGAUCAAGAUCGGCACGAGGAGGUGGAUCAAAAUUAGUACGACGAGAUGGAUCCAGAAGAGCGCGGGGAGGUGGAUCAAGAUCGGCACGAGGAGGUCAAGAUCGGCACGAGGAGGUGGACCAAGACCAGCACGAGGAGGUGGAUCAAGAUCGGCACGAGGAGGUGGAUCAAGAUCGGCACUAGAAGGUGGAUCAACAUUAGUGCGACUAGAGGAUCCAGAUGAGCACGAGGAGGUGGAUCAAGAUGGGCACGAGUAGGUGGAUCAAGAUGGGCACGAGGAGUUGGAUCAAGAUCGGCACGAGAAGGUGGAUCAACAUUAGCGCGAGGAGGUGGAUCCAGAUGAGCACGAAGAGGUGGAUCAAGAUUGGUACGAGGAGGGGGAUCAAGAUCAGCACGAGGAGGUAGAUCAAGAUCAGCAUGAGGAGGUAGAUCAAGAUCAGCACAAGGAGGACGAGGAUCGGCAAAAAGCUGGACUCAGCACGGCAAGGAGAAACAACCACGAGGAGAGCACUCAGGAGGCCUCUGGUAACUGUACAACAAGCCAAACAGCAGCUCAAAAUCGUUGAUGAAAUACUGCAUCCACUGCUUACCUUAGAGCAAGGUCAGACAUGUGUCGUUGGUGCCUGAGUACCUGGCACGCCCAAAAAUAUCCUGAAACGAACGGGCUGAUACCUUAGCCAAAUACCUCAGCCUUUGAGUACCUUAGAUACCUUGGCCAAAGUCAUUGCUGUUGAAGCGUCCUUAAAACCCACUAACUAUCUGACCACAAACAAGAUCGGCACAAGAAAGAUGACUGGGGUCGGCCCGAGAACACUGGAAUAUGAAGAUGGGACGGCGACAUUGUUAAGACAAAGGAGGUCGUUACGAUCACAUGAGGAAGAUGAUCAGGAUCAGCAAAGAGCCAAGUACCCUACGAGGAGAAAGAACCAUGAGGAGAAAGAUCAAGAUUUACACCAGGAGGAAGAUCAACUUGCCAUGAUGAUGAGGUGAAGAUGAACACGCGGCAGGCAUCGGAGAAGCACGAAGAAUGGGAUCCAGAUCACGCAAGGGGCCCAGAACGAUAGAAAUCGUCGGCCAUAGGGGCAUGACGAUGGGCGUCGUACGCGGCCACGUGCGAAAUCAAGAUCACAUGAAGGAGAUCAAGAUUGGCUUACAAAGAUUUCAGUUCGGCACGAAAAGCAGAAACAAGACGGGAAAUUAGAUGUCAGCGAAAUCGCACUAGGAAAGAUGUUAAGGUCACAUCAUUAAUGACAUCAAGGAUGACAAAAAUGGUGAGUGAAGAGUGCUCGGGCAGAACAUCUGAUUUGUCGAUCACAUGGAGAAUCAAGAUACAUGAUGAGGAUGCUCAAGAUUACCGCAAAGAGAGCCGAGGUCGGCGCGACUAGAAGUUAUAUCGGCACGAAGAAAGGGAUCAGGAUUAGCACGAGGAGAUGGAUCAAGAUCGUCACGAGGGCAUCCAGAUUGGCAAUGAGGUGCAUCAAGAUCGGCACAUUGAGGAAUAAUAACAUCGUCACGAGAAUAAGGGUCAAAUUCGGCGCGAGAAGGAGCAUGAAGGUCGGCACAAGGAGGGAAGUGAGAUCGACAUGGGGAAGCUGAUCAUCGUCGGCACGAGGAAGAGGACCAAGAUGGGAACGAGGGAAGGCAUCAAAACGGACACGAGGAGAAGGAUUCAGAUCGUGACGAGUGAGAGGAGGAUUAAUAUCAACAUGCGGGGGAAGAUCAAGAUUGGCGUAAGGAAGAUCAAGCCCUGCACAAGGAGGAGGAAGAGGAGUAUAAAGAUGGCCCUGAGGAAGAUGUUGAACUUACGCGAUGAAUGACAUCAAGAUUGAUGGAAAGCGAUCACGAUCAUGAGCAAUGGUAGCAAGAACGGUAGCAGUGGAAACUCAAGAUGAGAUAGCAAUAUUUCUAAAACAAGGACAAUCAAGAUCACUCUUCGAAAAGCAUCGGGAUCGUCUUAAGGAGAAACACCGGCACGAGGAAGAGAAUCAAGGUCGGCAGAAAUUUAAGUUCGGCCUCUCGAAGAGAAACAAGAUGGGCACGACGAAGAAGAUCAGGCUCAAAACAAGGCCGAAGACUAUUUCGGCACGAGGAGGAGAAACUAGGUCGGCGCGAAGAGGAUACAAAAACGCACAGGGAUGGUGUCCUACUUGCACGAGGAAUACGAUCAUGGGAACAAGAACAAGACCAGAAUAUCAAGACGGAACAGCACUGUCAUUAAGGCAAGGGAGAUAAUCAAGGUUACGUUAGGUAGAGGAUCAGAAUCAGCAUUAAGUUAAGCACCAGUUAAUGAGAAAGAAGCACAGGGGAAAGGUCGAGAUCGUCACCAGGAGGAGGAGCAAUUCGCCGUGGUGAGGAUCAAGAUCGGCACGGGGUAGGCAUCGAAGAAGCACGAGGAAUAACAUCAAGAUCACUUAAUACAUGGGGCCUAGGAUGGUAAAAUCGACGACCAUAAGCGCAUGAGGAAGAAGUCGUACGUGGCCACAUGAGGAAUCAAGAUCACAUGAAAAAACAAGAUCAACUUACAAAGGUUCGAGAUCGGCACGAGAACGAGAAAGACGAUCGGCACGAGGAGGAAGAUGAAGAUCGCAUAAGAGGGAUGAUCAUGAUCGGCACGAGGAGAAAGAAAGUUCGGUGCGAGGGGGAAGGUCACCAUAGGUGAGAUUAUGUCGAAAAAAUUGCACGAUGCAUAUUAUCAAGAUCGCAUGAAGAAUGACAUCAAAACAAGAAAAAUGGUAAGUCAAGAGCCCUAGGGUAAAGGAAGUCAAAUGUUGAUUGAAUGAAAAAUCAAGAUGAUGUGAAAAAAUUAUUCAGAUCGGCGCAAAAAGAGUCGAUAUCAGCGCGACAAGAAAAAGCAAGAUUGGUAUGGAGAGGAGGACGAAGAUCACCAGAAGCAAGGGCCCACAUUCUAGGAGCAAGAGGACCAAGAUCGGCUCGAGCAGGUGGAUCAAGAUCGGCACAAGAGGGAACAUCCAGACUGGCAAAGGAGGAGCUUCAAAAUCGACACCAGAAAGAGGACCAAGAUCGAGACGAGGAGGAAUAGCAAGAUCGGCACGAGAAGGAGGUGGAUCAAGAGCAGCGCGAUGAGGGGAUCUAGACCGGCACUUGGAAGUGCGCCGAGACCGGCACGAGGAGUGCCAAGCUACGCACUGUCAUCAAGAUGGAAAAGAAUACCGACACGAGGGGGAAGCUCAAGAUUGACGUGAGGACGAUCAAGCUGUACACAAGGAGGAGGAGAAGAAAAAUUAAGGUAAACACGAAUAAGGUGUCGAAGUCGCACGAUCAAUAGCAUCAAGGGCGCAUGAGCGACGGGAACAAGAAAAACAGCACUGGGAUGACAAGAUGUGAUAGCAAGAUCGUCAAGACAGGGAAGAAGAUCAACAUCACUCUAGGAAGAGCAGGAGGAUCGGCGGAAAUGAGAAACAUCACCGGCACGAGGAAGGGAAUAAAGAUCGGCAGAAAUUGGUGCCCGGGAUGACUAAAAAAAA